rnacentral:rRNA from 1 species
CUACGGGCGGCUCCAGUGAGGAAUAUUGCGCAAUGGGCGAAAGCCUGACGCAGCAACGCCGCGUGGAUGAUGAAGGCCUUCGGGUUGUAAAAUCCUUUUAUGGGGAACGAUAAUGACGGUACCCCAGGAAUAAGUCCCGGCUAACUACGUGCCAGCAGCCGCGGUAAAACGUAGGGGGCGAGCGUUAUCCGGAUUUACUGGGCGUAAAGCGCGCGUAGGCGGUGUCGCAAGUUGGAUGUGAAAGCUCCCGGCUUAACUGGGAGAGGUCGUUCAAAACUGCGGUGCUUGAGGACAGAAGAGGAGAGCAGAAUUCCCGGUGUAGUGGUGGAAUGCGUAGAUAUCGGGAGGAAUACCAGUGGCGAAGGCGGCUCUCUGGUCUGUACCUGACGCUGAGGUGCGAAAGCGUGGGGAGCGAACGGGAUUAGAUACCCCUGUAGUC